AGUGAAGCGGCAACAGCUCAAAUUUGAAAUCUGGCCCUUGUGGUCCGAGUUGUAAUUUGUAGAGGAUGCUUUUGGUUAGGUGCCUUCCGAGUUCCCUGGAACGGGACGCCAUAGAGGGUGAGAGCCCCGUCUGGUUGGAUACCGAGCCUCUGUAAAGCUCCUUCGACGAGUCGAGUAGUUUGGGAAUGCUGCUCUAAAUGGGAGGUAUAUGUCUUCUAAAGCUAAAUACCGGCCAGAGACCGAUAGCGCACAAGUAGAGUGAUCGAAAGAUGAAAAGCACUUUGAAAAGAGGGUUAAAAAGUACGUGAAAUUGUUGAAAGGGAAGCGCUUGUGACCAGACUUGGGCCCGGUCAAUCAUCCAGGGUUCUCCCUGGUGCACUUGGCCGGCCCAGGCCAGCAUCAGUUUGUCGCGGGGGAUAAAGGCGUCGGGAAUGUGGCUCCCCCGGGAGUGUUAUAGCCCUUCGUGUAAUACCCUGCUUCGGACUGAGGUUCGCGCAUCUGCAAGGAUGCUGGCGUAAUGGUCAUCAGCGACCCGUCUUGAAACACGGACCAAGGAGUCGUCUUCGUAUGCGAGUGUUCGGGUGUCAAACCCCUACGCGUAAUGAAAGUGAACGCAGGUGAGAGCUUCGGCGCAUCAUCGACCGAUCCUGAUGUUCUCGGAUGGAUUUGAGUAAGAGCAUACGGGGCCGGACCCGAAAGAAGGUGAACUAUGCCUGUAUAGGGUGAAGCCAGAGGAAACUCUGGUGGAGGCUCGCAGCGGUUCUGACGUGCAAAUCGAUCGUCAAAUAUGGGCAUGGGGGCGAAAGACUA
rnacentral:rRNA from 1 species